UUGCACAAUGGAGGAAACUCUGAUGCAGCGACGCCGCGUGAGCGAUGAAGCCCUUCGGGGUGUAAAGCUCUUUCGACGGGAACGAUAAUGACGGUACCCGGAGAAGAAGCUGCGGCUAACUACGUGCCAGCAGCCGCGGUAAUACGUAGGCAGCAAACGUUGUUCGGAAUUACUGGGCGUAAAGAGUGUGUAGGCGGUUUUGCAAGUUUGGUGUGAAAUCUCCCGGCUUAACUGGGAGGGUGCGCCGAAAACUGCAAGGCUCGAGUACUGGAGAGGAAAGCGGAAUUCCUUGUGUAGCGGUGAAAUGCGUAGAUAUCAGGAGGAACACCGGUGGUGUAGACGGCUUUCUGGACAGUCACUGACGCUGAGACACGAAAGCGUGGGGAGCAAACA
rnacentral:rRNA from 1 species